rnacentral:misc_RNA from 1 species
AAGUCGUAACAAGGUUUCCGUAGGUGAACCUGCGGAAGGAUCAUUAUCGACACAGCGGACUUCGGUCCUUGCUGCACCCUUGUCUUUUGCGUACCGUAUCGUUUCCUCGGGGGGCUUGCCCCCCGCUAGGACCCUUUAUCAAACCUUUUUGUAAUAGCAGUCAGCGUCUGAUACUAAGUUAAUUAUUAAAACUUUCAACAAUGGAUCUCUUGGUUCUG